UUAUAAAGUGAUUUAUAACAAGUAGAACAAUAUUCCAACACGAAGUUCAUAAAAUUUUGCCCUAACGAAUCUAGCUCGUGUAUGGAAUCAUUCAUGCAAAAAUUUAUACAGCCUGGAAUCAUCGGAUAUGUUGAUGGUACACAUUUUGGGUUGCAAAAAGCCCCAGAAAACGGACAUAUGUUUUCUUUAACAGAAAAGGAUACCAUAGUCUCAACUCAAUGAUAGUUUCUUCUGUUUUUCAGUAGUGACAAUUUAGGGGUCACAAAAAGUAUUUGUACACAUUAAAUCGCACUAUGAAGUAGGGCACUUUUGGGUGUAAUUAUUGCCAGAUAACCACAAUUCAUCGGGCUGCAUAGCACAUUGGGGCGACCAGGGCUCUACUGCAGUCCCCAAAUACUCCCCUCCACUCGCUUAACCACAGACACAACGCAGGGAGUGACAACGAUUUAAAACCUCGACGAUAACUGAUAGACUGAUGUGCUUUGCGUAAAAGCGAAGUAAUGGCACCCCCGAUAGAUCAGGGUAUUCGUCCGUCACAGAAGAGCAAUCAAUUUGAUCAAAGAGAA